CGCAGCACUUUACAGACAUUAGCAUCCAAAUGUCCCCAGUGGGGCUCACUAUCUAAGGUCCCUAUCAGUAUGUCUUUGGAGUGUGGGAGGAAACCGGAGUACCCGGAGGAAACUCACGCAAACAUGGGGGGAACAUACAAACUUCAAGCAGAUGUUGUCCUUAGUCGGAUUCCAACCUAGGACCCCAGCACUGCAAGGCACCAGUGCUAACCACUGAGCUCUUUCCUAAAUUCAA